ensembl:lncRNA
GCUAGAAGAAAGCCUCUUGAGAUGCGAGGCCAAUGGCAACUUUAUACUCACAAUCUACAUCCGGUGGAAGCUGAAUUAGCGAGGAUGACUCCUGCUCCUGUCAUCUCUAAGCUCCUCAUACAUCUUUACCUGCACAUGAGGAAAAUCACUCCUGUAGAAUGCAGAUGUUCAGAGGGAGAUGAUGCCACAUCUGGUCCAGCUGAUGGAAGGUCUUGAAGUUCUCUGACUGGCCUCGACUGAAGAUGGUCGUCUCACUGGAUUUAAGGUUCAGAUGCUCAGUAACAAACUCCACCAAUGUGCCAACAGGGAAGCUUUAGGUUUAUUAAAUGUUGCUAUGAAGGUAUUGCUGUUUUUCUUUGUGAAUGCAAUGUGCUCCAACUGAAAGUUGAAUUAGAACUUAGAAGUAAAUCCUUCCAUCUGAAAGGAUUUAGUUGCAUUAAUAACCUCAUAACAUUCUAAUUUUUAUUCCAGUCUUAGUUGGAAAUAGAAUCUCUGUAUUGAUUCAGGUAAAAACUGAACUUCACAGCAUGAUGGAGCAAAACACCCAGAUGAAAACUGUGAUGGUGUUGGAUUGUCAGACCGUAAUGUUGCAGCUCAAAGCAGCUUUUCUAGCUCAGUUCAUUCUGACAUUCAGCUAUGAAUCAACACAGCAGAUGGUGAUCCAUGCUGUGGAAGUCUCACAUCUCCUGAUUUAAUGGAGCUGCUUUGCACUUUUUACACUGUUUAUUCACCAACACUUUAUUUAAUAAAAGUCCUAUCUAGUUUUUAUGAGGAAAGUGAUGUUUUAAUUUCUCUGUGAAUAACUGCAGUCUAAUGAACAGCUGGAGUUGUAACAUCUGUCCUGAUAUUGAUCAUGAAGUAUUGAUCAGAAUACUUAUGGUCAGCAGUCAUCCCUGAAGUUUUACAUUGAAAUCUUUACUUGUGUUGUGAACUUUGGUAAGAAGCAGAAACGUUAGCGUUGCCAUGGAUACAUGAGUGUUAAAUUCUGUCCAUGUUUCCAUUUUGGGAAAUGCAGUCCAGUUCCAGAAUGUGGAGGAAUUUAGUCUCAAUCACAGACAACAAAUAUUAUCUGAAAGUCGAGUUAUUGUUGUUUAUCAGCACAAUACAAAAAUAUUCAUGUUAGACAUAUUCCAGUUAAGACUCUAGAAUAUUAUGAUUUAUGUAAAUUUACCUCAAUAAUAUGAAUGUUCAGGUUAAGAUUGUACAGUGAUAUUUAUUAUGUAAGUUUAGCUGAUUAAACAAAUGACUCUGCACUAAAAUAUUACUUAAAUUUACAUCAUUAUUAUAGUAUUUAGGGUCAGACCCUACAGUAUUGCGAUUAAGAAAUCAAAUAUUUUAUAAAAUGUAAAUACACUGAACUCAUUUGGAUAUAUUUAAGUGAGACUCUACAAUAUUAUUUUACACAAAUCUAUCUAAAUCAAAAUUUUAAUAAUUUUCACGCCAAACAUUUACUGGACUGAUUUAAAUAUUAAAAUCACUCCUUUCUAAUCCUCUGCUGUACGUUGAAACCUGAGGCCUUAAAUAGAAACACACAAGUAUCUGAUUGAAGGAACUUCUGCAGAGUCCUGGUUCCAGAACAUGAUGAUAGAAUUAUAGACAAACUUUAACAAAAGCUGACUGAGAGUUUACAGGUUUUUGUUAGAUUUCUUCAGUAAUUUAAUGAGAGUUAUCAGCAAAAAUCAAGUGUUCAUUUGAUGAACUUCAUUUCCUAAAACAUCCAGAAUUGGAGCUCAUAUCUUUGGCAGCUGUAAAGUUUCUGCUCCUUCAAAGUUCACAACACAAUGAAUUAAUUCCUAAAACACUCUCAAUGCUGGAGAGUGUUUGUGAUGCUGAAGCAGUGACCAGUUUUUCUGUUUCUUCUCUGGAGAUGCACAAUGAGGGACGUCUGCAGAGACUGAGAAAGAGUCUCACCACAUCCUGACAUGAGGAAAAAGACUUUAUUGAAGACUACAGUGAGAAAAACUAUCAGACAGCAGACGGCUGCAUUCAAGAGAGGAAGACCAUCAAACAUCCACAUCAGCUGAUGGAGGUCCAAGAGUCUCACCAAACAACCAACCUACAGAGUGAAGACCUCGAAUCUGAUUGGACGGCCUCCUGUUCAGCCACGUGUGAACAAAUGCCUCUAAGCUGAUUUGUUUUCUAAAAUAAGUCUAGUUUGAGUCCUAAUCUAUGCCUGUGUGUUUGCUUCUUUACACUGCUGUUAACAGUUAAGGCUGUUAGAUUGUUCCAGAUAAGACGAGUACAAAAUUCUUCAGAGCUGUUCUACCACGAGCCUGACAGGAAGAACUCCAACAGCUAUGGAAUGUUCCUGUGUUCCUACAGUAGUGAAUUUUAGGUGGAAUAUACCAUUGAACUCAACUUUUAGGUCUACAUUGGAGGAUUUUAGGUGGAAUUUUCGUCCAAACCUCUUUUAGUCUACAUUUAAGGAUGUUUAGGAUGGUAUAUUCUUCCAAACCAACUUCUCAGGUCUACAUUUCAGGUGGAAUAUUCCUCCAUACUAACUUUUUUGGUCUACAUUGAAGGAUUUUUUCUAAACCACCCUUUCGGGUCUAUAUUUGGGGUUUUAGGUGGAAUAUUCCUUUUAACCAGCCCCUCAGGUCUCUUUGAGGAUUUUGGAUGGAAUACUCGGUUAAACCAACAUUUUAGGUGCAUGUCCAAGGAUUUUUGGUGGAAUGUUCCUAUAAGGUGGAUGUUUGAGGACCUUGUAGGUGGAAUACUUCCUGAAACCAACCUUUUAGGUCAACAUUCAAAGAUUUAAGGUGGAAUAUUCCUUUAAACCAACCUAAAUUUCAUGUUUUGAUCAUUAUCAAGUGAGAAACCUCAAUCCAGAUUCCUCAUAAUGACAUUUGAGAUUUAUGCUGCUGUUAUUUGUUUAGUCCAGACUAAAUGACAGAAAUCCACAACUGUAAUUUUAUUUCAGGACUCCGUUAUUAAAUGUCAAAACAAUCCAUGUGACUCUAAAAACUCAACAGCUGUACAAACUCUAAGAUUAAACUCUCCACAAGGAUUCAAAAUAAGUUGGACUUCUACAUGAGAGCUUUAAUUAUUCUUCGUCUACUUCCUGAAAAUUUUGGUCAAUAAAAAAGACAAAAACUAAUAUUUUCAGUUGAACUAAAGACAGACUUUGUGAUUUUUCUGCUUACAUGUUGUGUUGUUGUAAACUUCCUCUUUCAAAUAAAUAGCGGCCUAACCCCCUGGAAACCAGCAUUUGUCCUGUUUUUGUGUUGCUCCUCGGCGAGCCCAGACAGCCGGGUCAUAAUGUUUUUUGAGCAACACACCAUACUAUGACGUUUUUACAAUGAUGGUUCUACUAUGGAACCAGUUUGACAUGUUCAGGUGUUCUUUGUGUGAAAACUCAGAGAUUUCAGGUAUCAGAAGGUGGUUUUCAACUUUCUUUGUUAACUUUCUGCCUCAACUUUAAACUAAAUUUCCUUCACUAACCCAGUCCUCUGGACUUCCAGUAAGCUGUGUUCCUAUUGGCUGUCCAGGUGGCUGCUUGGUGUUAUCAGGAACACCUGAGCAGCUUGGUGUUAUCAGGAACACCUGAGCAGCUCAGUGUCUUCCUGCUUUAUUUAGCUGCAG